GUGUUAACCUCAGCAGCACACGUACCAAAACUGGAACACUGCAGAGAAGAUGAACACAGCCCUUCAUAAGGAUGGCAUGCAAAUUGGUGAAGCGGUCAGUCCAUAC
ensembl:snRNA U6 U6 spliceosomal RNA